UUACAUAAAUGUGUCAUUUAUUAAUUAAAAUUGGAAUUAAAUACAUAAAUGUGUACUUGAAUGUGUCAUUAAUUAAUUAAAAUACAGAUUCAUUUAAUGUAAAAUACAUAUAUAACUAUUUCACUAUUUACAUUUACAUUUCAUGAUCCUGCGUUGCAGCGCUUCAUGAAUUACUUAAAACUGUCAAACUGACCCAUCAAAGUCAGUGGGCGGGGCUAACGCGAAUCUAGUCUGAUCCAUUGCUUUGGUCUGAAGUAGAGUACCUGGAUUGAAACAUGGAGGAUCUCCGUGAACUUUCCAGGGAGUUGGUGAGAGACAUUUUAAACUUAGCAGAGGAUGUAGAAGCAGGACCUGCUGAAUCAGAGCAUGUAGCUAGUAAAGCAGAGGAACUUAUUGAAGUUGUUGGAGUCAUUUCCGCACUUUCCGACGAAGAUAUCGACCACAGAGUGAUCUGUAGCGAUGUUCGGAGUGUCAAAAAGGACUAUCAAGAGGCGCAUGCAACAAUACAGUUUAAGAAAAACCGAUCUCUAUUCAGCUGUGAAUGAUGAGGAGUUGGACCAUAUUGUAAGUGAAAUUCACAGAAGUCAUCCAAACACCGGCUACAAGCUAAUGCGUGGUCACCUGAAUGCAAGAGGUGUGCGUGUUCCAAUCUCAAGACUGCAAGAGUCUUUACGCAGAGUAGAUGCAGAGGGAGUCCACAUGAGACGUCUGAGGCUGCGUGUAUUAAGGCGACGGCAGUAUUUUGUUCCUGGCCCAAACUCUUUGUGGCAUAUAGAUGGCCACCAUAAGCUCAUCAGGUGGAGAUUUGUUGUCCACGGUGGGGUGGAUGGAUUCAGUCGUUUAGUGGUCUACCUGACUGGCUGGCAAUAACAGAGCUCAUACGGUCUUACAGAGCUUUAUCGCCGCUGUUGAGCAGUAUGGGCUGCCAUCAAGGGUACGGUCUGAUAAAGGGGGGGAGAAUGCAGAUGUAGCAGAAUUCAUGAUCAGAAGCAGAGGUACCGACAGGAAUUCACACAUCACAGGCAGAAGUGUCCACAAUCAGCGAAUAGAGAGGAUGUGGAGAGAUGUUUAUGAACAUGCCCUGGACCUCUUCUAUCAGAUCUUUACUUCAUUGGAAGAUCAGGGAACACUGAAUCCAGACAAUGAAGUCCAUCUUUUCGCUCUGCACCGGAUUUUCCUUCCACUGGUCCAGCAAAGCCUAGACUCUUUUCGCGACGCUUGGAACUUUCACGGUCUGAGAACUGAAAGGAAUCAGUCACCACAGCAACUCUGGAGAAGAUACAGAGAGCAAGGCCCUGAGGAGGAUCCUACUGAGAUUUCUGAAGAGUAUGGGAUCGACUGGAACGGACCUCACGGCCUUCAUGGAGGCACUGUAUCAGUCCCUGAGGUUCAGCUGGCCCGUGAGCUCUCAGAUGAAGAGGUUGCAAUUUUGCCAGCUCCAGGAGUUUCUG